AUACCCCCUGAGAAACAUCUACUUCCGGACAGAAAGAGGUAAAAAAUAGGUCAGUAUGUCAAAAAAGAGCCUAGGAAUAUAGGGAAACCCCAGCAAGACCUAUCCAGAGGCAGGCAGCUAGGACACCCUGGUAGUCAGAAGGUGUUGCCUGCGUUCUGCUUGCAGAUGUUGGUCUGCCCAAUGGACAGUGGGCAGUGUCACAGAGAUCCUGGGAUACUGUGAUUCUUUCAUCCUGUUCCUUAAAGGGUCCUGUGGGUCUUCACCUGGAAGACUGGACACUCGUAGAGAAGAGCAAUAGUGACCAUUGUAUACAGUGAAGUGGAACUGAGAGAAGUUUCAUCAGAUGGUGAGUCUCCCAGAGCCAGUUAUGUGAGGCCAGGGCUCCAGGAGCUGCUAGCCACGCACUGCUUGGUCCGAGAUGCCACUUGGAUGAUCACAUGCUGGUUGCUCAGAAGAGUGUGUGCUUCCAAGAAAGCAGUGAUGACCGAGGCUGCAGAGUCACAAGCUGUUUCUCCAUUUAAGGUCCAAACUGAGAAGACUGGACAAAAGCUGAGCCAGAUGGAGGACACUGAUAUAAGGCAGGACCACUUAUCUGUCACUCCUGUCUGGCCACAUAGAGUAAGCCAGCUCUGGAUGUAUUUUACAAUUCACCUUCAUUCUACCAGUAACAGAGAGAGGCUCCAUGAGGCCUUGUUCCUUCAGACAUAAGCAGCUAUAUGAUGACAAAUGGACUGUGAAUGCUGAUAACUGAAAUGAUACCAAGUCACAGCCUCCCAAUGAAGUGAGAAGUUAAGAUUGAAACAUUUGGAUUUCUAGAGCUCCGGGACCACCUUGUCAGAUCACAAAUCAAGGGUUAAUCUCUGCAGCAAAUGAUAUUUAGAUUCUACUAUAUUUAUCUUGGAACGCUAGGACGUAAGCCCACGGAAGGUGGAUACUAACCUUUCUCAACCGCCAUACUGUCUGGUAAGAUGAGCAGCUCAUAUCACAGCCGAGACUAGUGAUAUCAUUUGCAGAGCUCAGAACAAGAUAAACUUGUAGCAUCUAUAUUCAGAAAGCAAGCGAAGAGCACUAUUUCAGGGAUACCUUAUUACUUACAAAGUGUAAAUUUUAUUACACUUUAUUAAUAUUAAAUAUUAUAUAUUUUUAUUAAUAGUGAUGAAUAUUACUAUUAAUAGUGAUGCAUGAGUAAUAACAUCCUUACACAUUGAGGAAACAAGGUUGACCCUACAAUUUUAUUCAAUUAACACAAAGAACAAGUUAAUAUCUUUUGAUUGCUAGCAAGAUAUAUUUUGCCUCAAUUCCUUGCAAAAUCAUUAAGCCACUAAGUUUAUGCUUUUUUAACUUCAUUCUUAAAUAUAUUCAAAAUAAUAUUAGUUAUGACACAUUCAAGAUUAAAAAUAAUUUUACAUUUCGAGAGGAAUCUGCUAAUACACUUAAGCAAUCUGUUAUUACUACACUUAAGAGUAUUUUACAGACUAUGAUUACAUUAGGAUACAUUUUUGAUCAUUUCAAAAUAUAAUUUCCCAUCACAUCUAGAACUAAAGAUAUUUGGGACAGUUUUUCUAAAAGAUUUAACUUCUCAUUCAAAUCAGUUUUGUGUAAAUCUGGGUUUAGUUACAAAUGCAUAUUUAUACAAUGAAUUCUUAAUAUUUCUUUGAUAUUUCAUGUAAUAUUAUACAAGUCAUAUAAGAAAAUCAAAGUGACAUUGGAACAUUUGUUUGAGUCCAAACAUGUAUUCAUGCAUUCUGCUCUCAGGGCACCAGUUAUGAGGAAAAGUGAAAGUUAGAAUUAUGUUCUUCAAUUAAAGAAGAUCUCAGAAGAUGGAAAGAUCUCCCAUGCUCAUGGAUUGGCAGGAUCAACAUUGUAAAAAU
rnacentral:lncRNA from 1 species